CCGGCCGGGUUGAUCCGGGCCGGGCCGGGCCGCAGCGCCCGGCCCCACCUGAGAGCCCUGAGCCCGCUGACCACACCCCCGGCCGCUCCCCCGCCGGCGAGGCCCGGCCCAUGGCAAAGAGCUCGGCCGGCGGCUGGGCGGCUCGGGGCCGGCCGUUUCCUGCCCGUCGGUAGCGGCGGGCGCCGUUGGGCUGCGCCAUGCGGGACUACGAGGAGGUGACCGCCUUCCUGGGCGAGUGGGGCCGCUUCCAGCGCCUCGUCUUCUUCCUGCUCAGCGCCAGCAUCAUCCCCAACGGCUUCAACGGGCUGUCCAUCGUCUUCCUGGCCGGUACCCCCGAGCACCGCUGCGCUGUGCCCCCCGGAGCCAACCUGAGCGAGGAGUGGCGGAACGCCAGCAUCCCGCUGGAGCUGCGCGGCGGACUGACGGGGCCGAGCCGCUGCCGCCGCUACCGCCUGGCCGUGCUCGCCAACCUGUCGGCGCUGGGGCUGCGGCCCGGCUCCGACGUGCAGCUGGCGGAGCUGGAGCAGGAGCCGUGCCUGGACGGCUGGGAGUACAGCCGCGAUGUGUACCACUCCACCAUCGUCACCGAGUGGAAUCUCGUGUGUGACAAUGACUGGAAGGGGCCCAUGAGUACCUCCCUGUUUUUUGUGGGCGUGCUGCUUGGAUCGUUCAUAUCGGGACAGCUCUCAGACAAAUUUGGCAGGAAGAGUGUGCUGUUCUCAACUCUGGCAAUGCAGACCAUCUUCAGCUUCGUUCAGGUCUUCUCUACCAGCUGGGAGAUGUUUUCUGCGUUCUUUUUGCUAGUCGGCAUGGGACAGAUCUCAAACUAUGUGGCUGCGUUUGUUCUUGGCACAGAAAUUCUUGGUAAAUCCACUCGUCUGCUAUUCUGCACGUUGGGUGUUUGCAUCUUUUAUGCCUUUGGCUACAUGUUGCUGCCACUGUUUGCCUAUUUCAUCAGGGACUGGAGGACGCUGCUGCUGGCACUUACUUUACCUGGGCUGCUCUUCAUCCCACUGUGGUGGAUCAUUCCGGAGUCUCCACGAUGGCUGAUCUCUCGGGGACGGUUUCAAGAAGCAGAAGACAUCAUCCGAAAGGCUGCAAAAAUUAAUAAGGUUACAGCCCCAGAUGUUAUCUUUGACCCUAGUGAGCUGCAAGAUUGGAGUUCCCAGGGCCAACAGACAUACACCAUUUUGGAUCUAAUGAGAACACGAAAUAUCCUCACUAUCACGAUUAUGUCAGUGAUUCUGUGGAUGAUAAUCUCCGUUGGUUAUUUUGGACUUUCUCUUGACACGCCCAACUUGCACGGCGAUGUCUAUGUGAACUGCUUCCUCUCAGCAGUGAUUGAGGUUCCAGCCUACAUUAUCUCCUGGCUGCUGCUUCGAAAUCUCCCCCGACGGUAUUCAAUGGCUGCUGCGUUAUUCUUGGGAGGCUGUGUUCUUCUCUUCAUUCAGCUGGUGCCUUCACAUAUUCGUGCCCUAUCUAUUCUCCUGGUGAUGUUAGGGAAGUUUGGGAUCACAUCUGCCUUUUCAAUGGUUUAUGUUUACACGGCUGAGCUCUACCCAACAGUAGUGAGAAACAUGGGAGUUGGAGCGAGUUCCAUGGCCUCCAGGCUUGGCAGCAUCCUUUCGCCUUAUUUUGCUUAUCUUGGUGCCUAUGAUAGAUACCUGCCUUACAUCUUGAUGGGGAGCCUGACUGUGCUAUCAGGAAUUCUGACUCUUUUCCUGCCAGAAAGCUAUGGUAUGCCUCUUCCUGACACAAUUGAGCAAAUGCUGCUGGUAAAAGGUUGCAGAUCUUGUUGGGAUCACGGAGAUAUGAGAUGGCUCCCACGACUGAAGUGAAGUCCCUUGCAGUGAAGGGAUACAGGCUGGAGAGAGAUAGGAAGGACAGACUUUGCUUUAUAUGUUUGCUUUUAAAGACUAGAAUACAGGCCUGCAUCUAGUGCCAAAAGGAAUUCAAAGGAUGAAGAAGAAAAUCCAGAGAUUUUUAAGAGCACUUCUUUUUAAUGAAACACCUUCUUCCUGGUGGACUGCAAGUUAAAUGGAUUUGCUCCUAACGCUCAUUCUAGAAAAGGGCUAGUGGCAACACUUCUUCCUGCAAUUUUAACCUUAUUUAUUAAUUUAAGCACUGUGUUCCAUGUAUUCUCUUUUUAUAUGACCACAAAUACUGUGUAGCCUUCACUGAUAUAUUUUUUUUCAGCCAGUUGUUUUAAUGCAUUAAUACCAAGGAACAGUAUCUGAUCAGACCUUUGGAAGUAAGUGUAUACUUGAAAGUGAGCUCAAGGGCUGGCAGAGCACCUGGACUCCACAGUGAGUCUUCUUCAGAGCUAAUGGCCAUCAAGAAUUUAGAAAUGCUAGAAAAAGCUGCUAAUUACUUUUGAUUUCUUGACUUCUGUCUUUGGACAGGAAACUUAUUUAUUACAAUGCAAACAUGCCUCUGAUCUUACUCAAGUGACUUUGCACGUGCUGAGUUUGCUAGCAGAUUCAGAAAGAUGCGAAGAAAGAUCUUUGAGAAUGAGUUUUAACCUGGUGUGUUGUGAUUCAGUGUGGGCUGAAAGGAUGGUCUUGCACAGGGCACAGCAUUGAGGUUUUGCUGACAGAGUCCUCUGGAAUCCAAUGCUGGAUUGCAGCUACAGCUUUCUGAUGGUGUUGUUUACAUCUGACACUGGAACACGGCCCACUUUGGGGCUGUAUUUAUUCCAAAUGAUGCAGAAGGUUUUUGCCUGUGUGUGGAGAGGGUGGUGGUGGUAGUGUGAGCUUCCUCCCUUUUGGUGAGUGCUUGAAUGUCUGAAUUGCUUGGGUUUUUAAACCAUAGUCUGUGCAAUGUGGUUGGUGGAAGUGAUUCUCCUGUCCUAGUUCUGUCCUUCCUGCACACACUCACAUACAUGCACAUGCACACACUACCAGCAGUACAUGCCACUGUGCUGAGAAUUCCCGAGAUCAAUAUUUACAAUGCAUUUCUGACCACUGGUCUUUGAUUCUCAGCUGCCAACUGUACAACGCUGCGAGGUCUGUUAUUUCACUGCACUCCUGUUCAUUGUUAAUAUGAAUUAUGUUAAGAUUGUUUUUAAAAAAUCACAUUGAAAAUCUGCUGAGACUGUUCCUUGGGUCACAGCAGCACCCGUUGCCUGUGUCUGUUUAAAUGUGUGCAUACACGUGGUCUCAUUUGUGCCAUUCUGAACUCACACUGCAUUACAGUGUGAUGGAUGUGUGUAGUGAAAGCAUUCAUCCCGUGGCAUUUGUUUUUGUGUUGUCCUGUCUUGUAGAGGCUGAAUAUGCAGAACCAGAAUUGUGCUGCUUGGGGCUGGUGAGGCCUUUCUGGCUGCUGGCCCUGGAGCAUUGUGCUGCUCUGUGCCAACAUGCAACAUCAGCUGCUCCGAGGCUUUUGUUAAGCACAGCUCUGUACCCUGUCCUUGCCAACCAGGCUUUCUUAAGCUGUAGGGUUUCACUGCUUUCCCUGCAUCUUCUCACCUACUUGCUCAGUGCUGUGACUGCUGGGUGCAGCAGGGAGCUGGUUGGUGAUAGAGUGAUACAGGGAAACUCGCUAUUGUCAUUGUCAGCUCCUCUGGGAAGAGAAAUCCCCAAACUUUGGCAGGUUCCACAUUAUUUGUGGUUGGUAGAAGGCCCUUUAAAAUGCACCUUGUGAUUUCAAAAUGGAGCAUAUGUGCAAGUAAACUUCAGGAAAGUGCAUGAAAACAAGCAGGCUGCAUGGUGUUGCAUCCCAGCACCCCAAGUCUAUGAUUCUAUUUGUCGCAUCCCCCACCUUUUCCAGAAUACUCAUUGCAAUUGUAAGAAUAUGCUCUAAAAGUCAGCACAAGUGAUUUAUGCCAUGUCUCUGAUAGGAACCAGCACAUUGAAAAGCAGCUUUUUUGUGCUGCAGGAGAAACCUCACCGCAGGAAUUUGAGGCCAAAUGUUCAGCUGUAACUUCCUUGUGAUGAAUUUGCCAACACAAACAGCCCUGUCCCAUGAAUCUUUUCCUGGAAACCGUUUUGGAAGGUAUCUUGAAGUGUAAGAUGCAUGCCUGCCUGGAACCUGGCAUUGGGAAUCCCUGCUGAAGCCCAUUCGGUGCAGUUUCAUACAGGUUAUGCACCUUCAUGUGUCUCAACAACAGGCUUUUGUUCUUGAUGAUUCUAAUGUUUAUUAAGUGCUUGUUUGGGAUUUUUAGUAUGAUUAAAUUGGGGGAGUUUCCUGGUGGUGAUUAAUCCUACUACAAUGACAACCUCUGUGUCACAAGUUUAUGUUUUCUUCCUCACUAAUCUUGUAAAAAUCCAGAAGUGAGUCAGAAUCAAUCUAUUUAAUACAGCAUCCUGUGGUACUCUGUUUACUUUCCUCUUCUGCCCUAAUCCUCGAGCUUAUCUCUGCAACAGGGAACUUGUUUUGGUGUGAAGUCAGAAUCCAGCUGUCAAGUAUUUCCUAAAGAACCCCGGGGGAUGUUUUAAUAGCAUCACUGGGCAAGCAGGAUGUGGGUGGAGGGAUGGACCCAGCUGUAAGGGUGAUGUCAGUGCUGGCAGCAGGUCAGAUGGGCACCAAACAGGCUGUGGAUGCCUUCAGUACCAAACGGUGGGGUUUAGUGCUAGGAUCAGAUGGCACCCGGUUAUUGAAUGUGCUGCUUAGUAGUGCAGAAUCUGUUCUGCUGCCCCUUGUGGAAGGCCUUGUUUUGUGAAAGCUCUCCUGUUAUCCUUAAAGAAGUGAGGAGUGAUGCUUUGUAAGGGGUCGGGCAGAAUCUGCAUAUGAAAGAGGGGCUGUGGUUUGGCUGAACUAUAACCUGGGAAAUGCAGGAGGGCUGUGAUGCCCUUAACAUGCAUUACAACCAUUGAGAUCUCUGGUCAGGGAACAUCACUGCACGCCACAGGAUCAGCAGUGAGGAAAACAGCAUUAAGGCAUUGGCUUGGGUUCAUUCCCAGCUGUUUGAUUCCUUUCAUCUCCCUGGGAGAGAUGCACAGCCCCACGACUUUGGUUUCUUAGCUCUGAAAGUACCACAGUUUCUUCAGCCUGAUAUUCACAUUCAGUGUGUGAUUCCCUGAUACAGCUCUCCUGGCUCUGGAAAUUGUGCUCUCAUGAACAUCUUUGAAAGAUGAAAUGUUAAGAAGCAGGUGGUUCAGGAUGAUUGCUGACAGCCAGGCCAAUGAGAAGUAUCACUUCAGCAUUAAUUUCCUCUAUGCACUUAAGUAUGUUGUGAAAGUGUUGUUCUUCCAGGGGAUUUUCCUAUUGAGAGAUGAUGGUACUGUAUUGCUGAUCUUGUGGAGCUUGAGAUGAACGUGAGUUAUCCCCACCUCUUUACAGCUGCUUGUGUUUCAUGGCCUCACCCACAGGGGUUCAUUUAUCAGCUCCCUGGGGACCGUGAGCACAACAAGCACCUGAGGAAGCGGUUGGGACCGUCUGUGUGAUUAAGUUCGUGUUGCAGUAUUUGUAGGAUAGGACCUUAACUUGUAAAGCCUUUGCUUAAAACACAGAAUCAGCUUAGGUAGCACAACGAGAUGCUCAUAUGUGCCUUUGGGGUGUUUUGACCCGCUGGUAAUGGCCACAGCCUUGUAUAUAGAAAUGUAUGGAAAUUUCUUCUGGGAAUGUAAAUACUCUUAACUAAAUUGUUUCUUAACCCUGUUGUUGUUUGGUUUUUUUUGUUUUUUGUUUUUUUUUUUUUAUAGAAAAAUGCUUGUUUGUAAAAUUCUGAAUAAAAUCAUAUCUGGGAUACAAAUAA